CCUACGGGAGGCAGCAGUAGGGAAUAUUGGACAAUGGGUGUAAGCCUGAUCCAGCCAUGCCGCGUGCAGGAAGAAGGCCUUCUGGGUUGUAAACUGCUUUUGCCGGGGGAUAAAAGAUCCAUGCGUGGAGAAUUGAAGGUACCCGGUGAAUAAGCCACGGCUAACUACGUGCCAGCAGCCGCGGUAAUACGUAGGUGGCAAGCGUUGUCCGGAUUUAUUGGGUUUAAAGGGUGCGUAGGCGGUCCUGUAAGUCAGUGGUGAAAUACGGCAGCUCAACUGUCGAGGUGCCAUUGAUACUGCGGGACUUGAGUACAGACGAGGUAGGCGGAAUUGACGGUGUAGCGGUGAAAUGCUUAGAUAUCGUCAAGAACACCGAUAGCGAAGGCAGCUUACUAGACUGUAACUGACGCUGAGGCACGAAGGUGCGGGGAUCAAACAGGAUUAGAUACCCUGGUAGUCCGCACAGUAAACGAUGGUCACUCGGUGUUGGCGAUACACAGCCAGCGCCUUAGCGAAAGCGUUAAGUGACCACCUGGGGAGUACGCCGCAAGGGUUGAAACGUCAAAGGAAUUGACGGCGNGNGAGNGCGAGGCGACGACGAGGGAGAGG
rnacentral:rRNA from 1 species